AAAGAGGAGUGGCGAACGGGUGAGUAACACGUGGGUAACCUGCCCAUCAGAAGGGGAUAACACUUGGAAACAGGUGCUAAUACCGUAUAACAAUCAAAACCGCAUGGUUUUGAUUUGAAAGGCGCUUUCGGGUGUCGCUGAUGGAUGGACCCGCGGUGCAUUAGCUAGUUGGUGAGGUAACGGCUCACCAAGGCCACGGUGCAUAGCCGACCUGAGAGGGUGAUCGGCCACAUUGGGACUGAGACACGGCCCAAACUCCUACGGGAGGCAGCAGUAGGGAAUCUUCGGCAAUGGACGAAAGUCUGACCGAGCAACGCCGCGUGAGUGAAGAAGGUUUUCGGAUCGUAAAACUCUGUUGUUAGAGAAGAACAAGGAUGAGAGUAACUGUUCAUCCCUUGACGGUAUCUAACCAGAAAGCCACGGCUAACUACGUGCCAGCAGCCGCGGUAAUACGUAGGUGGCAAGCGUUGUCCGGAUUUAUUGGGCGUAAAGCGAGCGCAGGCGGUUUCUUAAGUCUGAUGUGAAAGCCCCCGGCUCAACCGGGGAGGGUCAUUGGAAACUGGGAGACUUGAGUGCAGAAGAGGAGAGUGGAAUUCCAUGUGUAGCGGUGAAAUGCGUAGAUAUAUGGAGGAACACCAGUGGCGAAGGCGGCUCUCUGGUCUGUAA
rnacentral:rRNA from 1 species